GUGCGCAUGUUCAAUCUCGCUGGCUUUUCCAUUCCACUCUUCUUUCCCCUUCUCUCUCUGUCUCCACCGCCUUGAAGAGCAGAGGAGGGUACUGUAGCGAGAGAAACCAAGGACCAGAGAGACUAGAGAGGGAAGAGAAGAGAGAAGGAAAGAGGACUGGCAACUUUCACUUUCGGAGGAAACUAAUUCCCUGAAAAUGCCACCACCGACACAACAGAGCACUGGCCUGAACGGUGACCACAGACCAUCACGCCCACCGCAGCGUUCAGACACCCACCACCACCACCACCAUCCGUACUACCCAACAUCGUCGUCUUCCAACUCAGCCUCCUUGAAAGGCUGCUGUUGCUGUCUCUUCCUCCUCUUCUCCUUCCUCGCUCUCCUUGUCCUCGCUAUCUUCCUUAUCAUUAUUCUCGCCGUCAAGCCUAAAAAACCUCAGUUCGAUCUCCAACAAGUCGGCGUCCAGUACAUGGGCAUCUCGGCUUCCAAUCCCAGUUCGCUUGACCCGACCACCGGCACAACCACCAUCGCUACUGGCCCCACCACAGCUUCACUGUCUUUAACCAUCCACAUGCUAUUCACCGCCGUUAAUCCCAACAAGGUUGGGAUCAAGUACGGGGAGUCCAAAUUCACUGUCAUGUACCAUGGGAUUCCUUUGGGCAAAGCUUCGGUUCCUGGGUUUUUUCAGGAGGCCCAUAGCGAGCGUCAGGUGGAAGCCACCAUUUCUGUCGAUCGCUAUAGCUUGAUCCAGGCCAAUGCUGCUGAUUUGAUAAAGGAUGCUUCGUUGAAUGAUAGAGUGGAGCUUCGGGAUCUGGGUGAAGUUGGUGCUAAGAUCCGUGUCCUAGACUUCGACUCCCCUGGAGUACAGGUCAGCCAUUUUUACCCAUUUUCCUUUUCUUUCUAUCUUUCUGUAUCAACUUUUGUUUUCUUGUUCAUAAUUUUUGACUUCUGAUUUCUAAUAUUGGCUUUACCUUACAUUAAAUAUCCAGCAUUGCCCAUUUCUAAUUUUGGCUUAUAAUUUCUUUCACCCAAGCUAAUUUUUGCUCUAGUUUCUGAACUUUUGGAUGUGGGUUCUUUCUAGGCUUAGGAUUUCUAGUUCCUAACUAAUUUGUGGUUUCUGGAUCUUUUCUAGGCAUAAAAUUUUUGAGCAUUACCUUAUUGGGUUUAAUCUUUCCUGUUCUUCAAUUUCUAUACAUCCGAAUUGUACACUACUCAGUAUUUAUGUUUCUGACUUUAGCUUCAAUUUCUCAUUAUAUUUGCUUCUCCAUUCAUAUUUUUGUAUGAAUAAAGUUUUGGCUAAGCUUUCUCCAGAAAUGGGUUUUGGUCUUUCGUUAGUUUUUCCAGUUAGCGCAGUCGUGGAGGGGGCUGGUCGGCUCUGUACCAGCGAAAUCCACCAACGUCUGUCUCACUCUUGCUUAGGCUUUUCCUUUUGCCUCAUCAAUUACUGUGGAAGAGCAUGUGUUUUCCUGGGUACUUUCUUUCUUGAAAGGGAUAUUCUUGCUCAUCUACCCUCUUGUUUUGGCCUAUUUAUAUAUCUGACCCCGAUGAGCAUCUUUUCUUUGCUAUUAGUGCCCUUUGCUUUUUGGUGCACCUGCGCUGGUGACCCUCAUGGGGUGUCUUUUUCGGUCCCUUUUCUUUCAAGAAAUUAGUGAUUCUUGGAUUUCUUUAUGCCUUAAUCCUGUCUUUUCAGUUCUUUAAAAAGCACCAAAAAAGGUUGCUUAGAGCAGUUCUUUAACUUUAAUUUUAUCGUUGAUGGCCGCUAAUUGGUAAUUACCAGCAUAAUUUCUUUCUUUUCAAGAGCUUUCUUAAAACGCACCAAUGGUGUCUGGACUAUGCGGAAUGAGAUUUCUAAGCAAUAGUUUUUUACCAUGACUAGCUCGUGGUUUUCAUUCUCUUAGAAACCUAUCCUAACUACCCACGUGCCAUUUAUUCCCCUUGGCUAAUUUGUCUAAUAGCAUGUAUUUUGACUUGGGUAAGGUAGUUCUUGAUUCUUGCGAGCUAUUUUAGCAAGAAAUAUAAACCCCAAGAUGCUAGCCACUGGUGCAUGUGAAUGGUGGAUUCAUGUGUGUCUCAUCAUAUCAUGCAUAUUGAUAUUUCCCUUUACAUUAUUAGACAGGAACCAAGUUCCCUCCCUCUCAAAUGAAUUGUAAAUCUCAUGAGAAGGACUGGCUUGUGGGAGAGGAGAGCGCAGCAUGGUCCCACCCAGUAUUUUGAGCAAUUAUUGUUAGUAGUUCCCAGUACACUUCACGCACCAUGUGAGGGACCAUUGGAAACCGUGGAAGGUGGGAUUUCAUGGUCUACCAUUUCUUUGUCCAAUAACCAGAAGGUUUUGGGAUUCACAGUUUAUGGUAACAAUGCAAAAUAACACAUGAGCAUGGAUUGGUUUGUUUUGUGGUAAAAAAUGUCAAAACUUCAUUCCUCAUUUUUUAGCCUUAGGGAAGAAAAGGUCUUGUUCCGUUUCUUAGCAUGUGAAUUGGUGAUUUUUGGGGCCCUUGUGGCCCCUAGGAAAGAGAUGUGAUGGGAUCCAAAGUUUGGCUGGGCUGGAAGGUGCAAGUUAAAAUUUUUCUCUGAUCUUUUGUGGGGUUCUUGUAGUAGGCAAUUGGGCAUCAUCCAUUAAUUGCUUGGAUCUUACUAAAGCCUGCAUGUGCCUUCUACAUUAAUGUUUCAGAUAAUGUCUUUUUUGGUACACCAUGAAGAAUUAAUGUUUCAGAUGUACAGAAGAUGGAGAUCUAUUAGCUCCUAAGAAAGUGUGUUUGGGGACAGUUUAGUUAUGAAAAUUGAGAAAUCUACCUUGCAGCCACUAGCUCAAGGUGAAUUGAUCUUUCAACUUGUUGCUUGCUUCAAAUUGCAGGGAUCUGGAAAUGGGCAUUUUGUAUAGCUACAGGACUAGGCUGAGAGGCACUGCUCAUGCCAAUCAUUUCUCAGUAAUAUGAUUGCCCACAGUAAUAAACAGUAACAAAAAAUAAUGUCUCUGUAGUGUGGCAUGUCAGAUUGGAAUUCAUAUUUUUCAACAUCAUUAUGGAGGCUAUAUUAGUGCGUGGCUACCACUCGCUUGAAAGGUUGCCUGUUGCCAACUUGCUUUUUUGACAAAAUAAACAAAGAGAGCAGAUAGGUACAGUGACACUAUGUCAUAGUGUUGUACUGAGUUAGUUCUUAAUUAUUUUUUUUAUAUUUUAUUAUUCACUUCUAAUAUUUUAUUCAUUCACUUCAUGCAAAUAUAUUAUUAUUUUUUAUAUAUUUUUUGCAUUUAUUUGUGUUUUUAUAAACAAAAGAAGAACCCAACAUGUUGCUGCAUUAGCAGUAGUGUCUGUAAUAUAAUAAACUAUAGUAAAAUAGAAAUUUAAAUAUUUGACAAUUCUUAUAUUUUCUAAGAGUUUUAGAAAUACGAAAGAAAAAGAAGGAAAUGGAAAAUUUAUUCCCAUUUCCCACUAAUGUUGCUGGCAUGAAUAAUUUUUCUUUGACAUUUUCUUUCCCUUCAAAAACAUCUAAUUUGGGUCUGGAUGAACAGGUAUCAGUGAACUGUGCAAUAAUGAUAAGUCCAAGGAAGCAGGCUCUUACUUACAAGCAGUGUGGAUUUGAUGGACUAAGCGUUUGAGUAAGCCGUACCUGGGCAAAAACAAUGGGCACAUAUGAAAAAUAUGAAAGGAAGAAUUUCCCCCCACACCAUCCCCCCCCCCCUCUCCGGCCUUUUUCUCUCCUCUCUUGUUUAAUUUUUUUCCCCUCUCCUUAGAUAAGAGAGAAUGUGUAGAAAGCAAAGAGAAGGUUAGAAAGUAGAAAGCAUGUUAAGACUGGAGACCCAUAUCCUCUCGUGGAUAAAUGGAAUUGGAUGGAAGGUAAGCAAAUAAGUGGUAAAAGAGAAAUGGGGAUAUUCUAAUUGGGAAAUCAAAAUGUUUUUCCCAAGAUUUUGCAGAUUUUUAUAUUGGUUUACUCCAUGAAAGCUUAAAAAAAAAAAAAAAAAAAAAA
rnacentral:misc_RNA from 1 species